rnacentral:tRNA from 1 species
UCCCUGGUGGCUCAGAUGGUAAAGCGUCUGCCUGCGGUGCAGGAGACCCGGGUUCGAUCCCUGGGUUGGGAC